AUUGAACGCUGGCGGCAGGCCUAACACAUGCAAGUCGAGCGAGCGGCGGACGGGUGAGUAAUGUAUGGGGACUGCCUGAUAGAGGGGGAUAACUACUGGAAACGGUCGCUAAUUCCUCAUACUAUCGGAGAACCCAUAUGGGAUUAGCUAGUAGGUGGGGUAAAGGCUCACCUAGGCGACGAUCUCUAGCUGUGCUGAGCGGAUGAUCGGCAACACUGGAACUGAGACACGGCCAAGACUCCUACGGGGGCAGAAGGGGGGAAUAGUGGACAUGGGGCGAAGGCCUGAUGCAGCCAUGCCGCGUGUAUGAAGAGGGCCUUAGGGUUGUAAAGUACUUUCAGCGGGGAGGCGUUACCCGAAGAGAAAGCACCGGCUAACUACGUGCCAGCAGCCGCGGUAAUUC
rnacentral:rRNA from 1 species